rnacentral:rRNA from 1 species
GAUAAACGCUGGCGGCGUGCCUAACACAUGCAAGUCGAACGCCCUUACGCAAGUAAGGGAGUGGCGGACGGGUGAGGAACACGUGGGUGAUCUGCCUUGAGGUGAGGAAUACCGGCGAGAAAUCGCCGACAAUACCGCAUACGUUCGCAAGAACAAAGUCGCAAGACGCCUUGAGAUGAGCCUGCGUCCGAUUAGCUAGUUGGUGGGUAAAGCCUACCAAGGCAGCGAUCGGUAGCUGGUCUGAGAGGACGAUCAGCCACACUGGGAUUGAGAACGGCCCA